rnacentral:rRNA from 1 species
AAAUUGAAGAGUUUGAUCAUGGCUCAGAUUGAACGCUGGCGGCAGGCCUAACACAUGCAAGUCGAACGGUAACAGGAAGCAGCUUGCUGCUUUGCUGACGAGUGGCGGACGGGUGAGUAAUGUCUGGGAAACUGCCUGAUGGAGGGGGAUAACUACUGGAAACGGUGGCUAAUACCGCAUAACGUCGCAAGACCAAAGAGGGGGACCUUCGGGCCUCUUGCCAUCAGAUGUGCCCAGAUGGGAUUAGCUUGUUGGUGAGGUAACGGCUCACCAAGGCGACGAUCCCUAGCUGGUCUGAGAGGAUGACCAGCCACACUGGAACUGAGACACGGUCCAGACUCCUACGGGAGGCAGCAGUGGGGAAUAUUGCACAAUGGGCGCAAGCCUGAUGCAGCCAUGCCGCGUGUAUGAAGAAGGCCUUCGGGUUGUAAAGUACUUUCAGCGGGGAGGAAGGUGUUGUGGUUAAUAACCGCAGCAAUUGACGUUACCCGCAGAAGAAGCACCGGCUAACUCCGUGCCAGCAGCCGCGGUAAUACGGAGGGUGCAAGCGUUAAUCGGAAUUACUGGGCGUAAAGCGCACGCAGGCGGUCUGUCAAGUCGGAUGUGAAAUCCCCGGGCUCAACCUGGGAACUGCAUUCGAAACUGGCAGGCUUGAGUCUUGUAGAGGGGGGUAGAAUUCCAGGUGUAGCGGUGAAAUGCGUAGAGAUCUGGAGGAAUACCGGUGGCGAAGGCGGCCCCCUGGACAAAGACUGACGCUCAGGUGCGAAAGCGUGGGGAGCAAACAGGAUUAGAUACCCUGGUAGUCCACGCCGUAAACGAUGUCUACUUGGAGGUUGUGCCCUUGAGGCGUGGCUUCCGGAGCUAACGCGUUAAGUAGACCGCCUGGGGAGUACGGCCGCAAGGUUAAAACUCAAAUGAAUUGACGGGGGCCCGCACAAGCGGUGGAGCAUGUGGUUUAAUUCGAUGCAACGCGAAGAACCUUACCUGGUCUUGACAUCCACAGAAGAAUCCAGAGAUGGAUUGGUGCCUUCGGGAACUGUGAGACAGGUGCUGCAUGGCUGUCGUCAGCUCGUGUUGUGAAAUGUUGGGUUAAGUCCCGCAACGAGCGCAAC